ensembl:snoRNA SNORD57 small nucleolar RNA SNORD57
UGUGAGUGAUGACAACUCUUGCCCCGACUAAAUACUGGGGGUACAAAAUGAUUUAAUGAGCCUGACAC